rnacentral:rRNA from 1 species
UACGAAGGGGGCUAGCGUUGCUCGGAAUCACUGGGCGUAAAGGGUGCGUAGGCGGGUCUUUAAGUCAGGGGUGAAAUCCUGGAGCUCAACCGGGGAACGACGCAUGAAACUGGCAAGCUAGAGUACCAAAGAGGGGGGUGGAAUUCCCGGUGUAGCGGUGAAAUGCGUAGAUAUCGGAAGGAACAUCAGUGGCGAAAGCGACUUCCUGGACCAAUACUGACGCUCAUGUGCGAAAGCGUGGGGAGCAAACAGG